rnacentral:rRNA from 1 species
AUACGGAGGAUGCAAGCGUUAUCCGGAUUUAUUGGGUUUAAAGGGUGCGUAGGCGGUUUGCUAAGCGGGAGGUGAAAUGCCGGCGCUCAACGUCGGAAGUGCCUCCCGAACUGGUGGACUGGAAUGACUCUGCCGUGGGAGGAAUGUGUAGUGUAGCGGGGAAAUGCUUAGAGAUUACACAGAACACCGAUUGCGAAGGCAUCUCACGAAGGGUUGAUUGACGCUGAGGCACGAAAGCGUGGGGAUCAAACAGGAUUAGAUACCCUGGUAGUCCACGCAGUAAACGAUGAUGGCUAACCGCUGGUUUUUUCGGAUCAGUGGCCAAGCGAAAGCGAUAAGCCAUCCACCUGGGGAGUACGACCGCAAGGUUGAAACUCAAAGGAAUUGACGGGGG